AGAGUUUGAUCCUGGCUCAGGACGAACGCUGGCGGCGUGCCUAAUACAUGCAAGUCGAACGGUCUUUUCUAUGGAAGCUUGCUUCCACUGAGAAGAUAGUGGCGAACGGGUGAGUAACACGUGGGUAACCUGCCCAUAAGAGGGGGAUAACAUCCGGAAACGGGUGCUAAUACCGCAUAGUUUUCUUGAUCGCAUGAUCGAGAAAGGAAAGACGGCCUUUGUGCUGUCGCUUAUGGAUGGACCCGCGGCGUAUUAGUUAGUUGGUGAGGUAAUGGCUCACCAAGACGAUGAUACGUAGCCGACCUGAGAGGGUGAUCGGCCACAUUGGGACUGAGACACGGCCCAAACUCCUACGGGAGGCAGCAGUAGGGAAUCUUYCGCAAUGGACGAAARUCUGACGGAGCMACGCCGCGUGAGUGAAGAAGGUUUUCSGAUCGUAAAACUCUGUUGUCAGAGAAGAACAARUCGGAGAGUAAMYGCUCCCGGUCUUUGACGGKAUCUGASCAGAAAGCACGGCUAACUACGUGGCAGCAGCCGCGGUAAUACGUAGUGGSAAGCGUUGUCCGGAUUUAUGGGCGUAAAGCGAGSGSAGSGGUUCCUUAAGUCUGAUGUGAARGCCMCGCUCAACCGUGGAAGUCAUUGGAACUGGGGAACUUGRUGCAGAAGAGARAGUGGAAUUCAUGUGURGCGGUGAAAUG
rnacentral:rRNA from 1 species